rnacentral:rRNA from 1 species
CCCUUAGAUGUCCUGGGCCGCACGCGCGUUACACUGAUGCAUUCAACGAGCUUAUAACCUUGGCCGAGAGGCCUGGGCAAUCUUGUUAACGUGCAUCGUGAUAGGGAUAGAUUAUUGAAAUUAUUAAUCUUGAACGAGGAAUUCCUAGUAAACGCAGAUCAUCAAUCUGCAUUGAUUACGUCCCUGCCCUUUGUACACACCGCCCGUCGCACCUACCGAUUGGAUGGUCCGGUGAAGCCUCGGGAUUGUGGUUCUUGCCGCUUUAUUGUGGCGUGACCGCGAGAACUUGUCUGAACCUUAUCAUCUAGAGGAAGGUGAAGUCGUAACA